GCCGGGAUGGCGGAAUGGCAGACGCGGCGGACUUAAAAUCCGCUACUUUAAAAGGUGUGUGGGUUCGAGUCCCUCUCCCGGCACCA
rnacentral:tRNA from 3 species